AGAGUGAACGCUGGCGGCAGGCCUAACACAUGCAAGUCGAACGGCAGCACAGGAGAGCUUGCUCUCUGGGUGGCGAGUGGCGGACGGGUGAGGAAUACAUCGGGAUCUGCCUUAUCGUGGGGGAUAACGUAGGGAAACUUACGCUAAUACCGCAUACGACCUACGGGUGAAAGCGGAGGACCUUCGGGCUUCGCGCGAUAAGAUGAGCCGAUGUCGGAUUAGCUAGGUUGGCGGGGUAAAGGCCCACAAGGCGACGAUCCGUAG
rnacentral:rRNA from 1 species